rnacentral:rRNA from 1 species
AAAGCGGCACGCGAGCUGGGUUUAGAACGUCGUGAGACAGUUCGGUCCCUAUCCGCCGCAGGCGCAGGAGACUUGAGGGGAGCUGUCCCUAGUACGAGAGGACCGGGAUGGACGUACCUCUGGUGUGCCAGUUGUUCUGCCAAGAGCACGGCUGGUUAGCUACGUACGGACGGGAUAAGCGCUGAAGGCAUCUAAGUGCGAAGCCCACCCCAAGAUGAGGUCUCCCACGGGUAUUACCCGGUAAGGCCCCUGGCAGAACACCAGGUUGAUAGGCCGGAAGUGUAAGCGCAGCAAUGUGUUCAGCUGACCGGUACUAAUAGGCCGAGGGCUUGGACAG